GGGAGAGAGAGAGAUUAGCGUUCGGAGACGUCAAUUUUACUAUACACAGUGGCCGCCGAGCGCUGGUUUGUUUGUUGCUGGGAUGUGAAAGCGCGACGGCCAUCUUUAAUGUGGCGGCGUCGAUUUCCAUCCUCACUCAUUCGUGGUUAUCUGCAGUCUAUCCCAGUUAUUAUUGGACAAGAGAUGGUCAACCUCACAUUCACACUUGGGGACAACUUAGAAUGUUCAACAAACCACAAAUGCAUGUUUUUGUGAAUGUGCAGGCAGAGUACCUGAAGAAAAUCCACACAGCACAGGGAGAACAAGCACACUCCACACAGGAGGUGUGGAGUGCGCAUGCUGAAGCCCAGAAAAUAAUACAAGCCAAUUGACUGAAGUAUGGAAAACCGUUUGAGCAUCCCCAUUCAAUAUCCCUGAUGUCUACCUUGAGGUUAAUGUAUUACGCUGUCCGGCCUCACGAGCAGGACUUUUCAGUGCACCUACUACAACUCGGGUUCAGGACUUGCAGCUUUUACAACGAGCGGGACUUUUCAGUGCACCUACUACAACUCGGGUUCAGGACUUGCAGCUUUUACAACCUUUAUUAAGCUAAGGCACAUAAUAUUACCUUUGAAGAUUUCUAACAGGACAACACUGAACAAUAAUGCCACAAGUGGAUUCACCAAUUGAUUAUUUACCUUCUGUAAACAGUGGAAGAGCAUUUAAAUGUUCUACCUGUCAUCAUACAUUGCAAAUAUAUUCACUAGAAUUAACCGAGAACAAUUUUAAGUAACCUUGUUACUCGGAUGUCUUUGUUCUACAAGCCCGCUGAAUUGUCUUACUAGUGAGCAUUUUUCGUAUUUAUAAGACAUUUCACCAUGAUGGUACACAUACUUUGGGUGGCAACAGCAUGAGCUUUCACUGACAGCAGAAAUGUCACAGUAAAGAUACCUUACAAGUCAUUUCACAAAGUCAGAGAUGAUGAAUUCAGUCUCAGUUAUCAGGCAGUCUUGCAAUCACAUCCGUGCGAUCACACCUUCUGUGGUAGGCCUGUAUCUGGUGGUGCGACCUCAAGCCAAAAUAUUUAAUUCUUUAGUACGUCUACAAGCACUAAAAGAAUGUCACCUUCAACAUGGCAGUGACGUUUACGUAUGAGUCUGCGCCGCCAGCUAACUCUAUUUACAACAACGCUCUCCGUUAGCGUUAGCCACUGAAAUGUCAGCUGACAUACUCCAGAGUGGAACUUUAAAGAUGGCUACGGCACACAUUAACUGUAAGUGUCAACUUGUACUCGCAUUUAAUGAGCGUUGUCUUGAUGCUGCUGUCAAAUUAUAUCCUCGAGUUGCCACCGUGUCGAGUGAUUUAACAGACGCUUUUCAACCGACGGCUCCAUCUAUGGCUAACCAUGAACGAGUGUGUGAGCAGCGCGACGUGGACUCACAGAGGAAGUCUUGCAAGUGCACGCGGCCUGGCCUCUUCAAAGGGGGAGAAAAAACUAACAAACACGCAUUUCAUUCAUUGGUUCUUCACCUAUUUGUUUUGGGGUCAAAUGUAUUUCAGGCCGCAUGGAAAAUAAAGUUAUGGAUACCGACA